rnacentral:rRNA from 1 species
GAUGAACGCUGGCGGCGUGCCUAAUACAUGCAAGUCGAACGAGUUCUCGUUGAUGAUUGGUGCUUGCACCGAGAUUCAACAUGGAACGAGUGGCGGACGGGUGAGUAACACGUGGGUAACCUGCCCUUAAGUGGGGGAUAACAUUUGGAAACAGAUGCUAAUACCGCAUAGAUCCAAGAACCGCAUGGUUCUUGGCUGAAAGAUGGCGUAAGCUAUCGCUUUUGGAUGGACCCGCGGCGUAUUAGCUAGUUGGUGAGGUAAUGGCUCACCAAGGCGAUGAUACGUAGCCGAACUGAGAGGUUGAUCGGCCACAUUGGGACUGAGACACGGCCCAAACUCCUACGGGAGGCAGCAGUAGGGAAUCUUCCACAAUGGACGCAAGUCUGAUGGAGCAACGCCGCGUGAGUGAAGAAGGCUUUCGGGUCGUAAAACUCUGUUGUUGGAGAAGAAUGGUCGGCAGAGUAACUGUUGUCGGCGUGACGGUAUCCAACCAGAAAGCCACGGCUAACUACGUGCCAGCAGCCGCGGUAAUACGUAGGUGGCAAGCGUUAUCCGGAUUUAUUGGGCGUAAAGCGAGCGCAGGCGGUUUUUUAAGUCUGAUGUGAAAGCCCUCGGCUUAACCGAGGAAGCGCAUCGGAAACUGGGAAACUUGAGUGCAGAAGAGGACAGUGGAACUCCAUGUGUAGCGGUGAAAUGCGUAGAUAUAUGGAAGAACACCAGUGGCGAAGGCGGCUGUCUGGUCUGUAACUGACGCUGAGGCUCGAAAGCAUGGGUAGCGAACAGGAUUAGAUACCCUGGUAGUCCAUGCCGUAAACGAUGAAUGCUAGGUGUUGGAGGGUUUCCGCCCUUCAGUGCCGCAGCUAACGCAUUAAGCAUUCCGCCUGGGGAGUACGACCGCAAGGUUGAAACUCAAAGGAAUUGACGGGGGCCCGCACAAGCGGUGGAGCAUGUGGUUUAAUUCGAAGCAACGCGAAGAACCUUACCAGGUCUUGACAUCUUUUGAUCACCUGAGAGAUCAGGUUUCCCCUUCGGGGGCAAAAUGACAGGUGGUGCAUGGUUGUCGUCAGCUCGUGUCGUGAGAUGUUGGGUUAAGUCCCGCAACGAGCGCAACCCUUAUGACUAGUUGCCAGCAUUUAGUUGGGCACUCUAGUAAGACUGCCGGUGACAAACCGGAGGAAGGUGGGGAUGACGUCAAAUCAUCAUGCCCCUUAUGACCUGGGCUACACACGUGCUACAAUGGAUGGUACAACGAGUUGCGAGACCGCGAGGUCAAGCUAAUCUCUUAAAGCCAUUCUCAGUUCGGACUGUAGGCUGCAACUCGCCUACACGAAGUCGGAAUCGCUAGUAAUCGCGGAUCAGCACGCCGCGGUGAAUACGUUCCCGGGCCUUGUACACACCGCCCGUCACACCGUGAGAGUUUGUAACACCCGAAGCCGGUGGCGUAACCCUUUUAGGGAGCGAGCCGUCUAAGGUGGGACAAAUGAUUAGGGUG